rnacentral:rRNA from 1 species
GAUGAACGCUGGCGGCGUGCCUAAUACAUGCAAGUCGAGCGAACAGACGAGGAGCUUGCUCCUCUGACGUUAGCGGCGGACGGGUGAGUAACACGUGGAUAACCUACCUAUAAGACUGGGAUAACUUCGGGAAACCGGAGCUAAUACCGGAUAAUAUAUUGAACCGCAUGGUUCAAUAGUGAAAGACGGUUUUGCUGUCACUUAUAGAUGGAUCCGCGCCGCAUUAGCUAGUUGGUAAGGUAACGGCUUACCAAGGCGACGAUGCGUAGCCGACCUGAGAGGGGGGUGGCCCACACGGGAACUGGGACGCGGACCAGACGCCUACGGGAGGCAGCAGAAGGGAACCUGCGGCAGUGGGCGGAAGCCGGACGGAACAAGCCGGAGUGAGAGAGAACGAUCUUCGGAUCGUAAAACCGGUUUAUGGGGGAAAAAAAAAUGUGUACGGAAAUAUGCCCGUCGUGACGGUACUUAAUAAAAAAGCCCCGGCUAACUACGUG